GGAGAUAUUCUUGGUUGUGAUUAUCUUGGAGAGAUCCUAGAGUACUGACUGGCAUGGCCAGUUAUGGGCAGAGUUUGUCCUUUCCCUCUGAGGCAAAUCCAUCUUGUCCCAGAUCCUCCGGGCCCUCCGGACCCUCCGAGGGCAUUCGUGAUCUUCCUCCUUUACUUACAUUAGCGAGCUCACUGAGUUCCAUUUGUCCCCAGAGGUUCCAGGACAGAAUUUGCAGGUCACUGGGCAAAGGCUGAGGAAGUUGGGUCAAUUUGGCACCCUUCACUGUGCUGCCAAGCACAAUGUCACAUUCUCUUCUACGGAACCAUGCUGGCAGCAAUCCAUUACCAUGCUUGAGACUGAAGACAACAGUGAGCACUGAGAAACAUGGAGCCAAGGAACAGAGAGAGACCCUGAUAGGUAGCAUUUGAGUGCCUAGAUCUAGCCGCACCUGAAGGCCACACAUGGACUAUUCAAUUAUAUGAACCAAUGUGUUCCUUUUUUUGUUUGUUUGUUUUUCUUAGCCAAAUCUGAUUUGGGUUGCUAAUGCUUGUCCCUAAAAAGUAUUUCCUGGCUUAUUAGAAUGAUACUCCCUAUUUUGUAGAGAAUUCAAAUGGUAAUUAAAGGUUAUUAGUGUCACAGAGAAUUUACCUCUUUUCCUUUCAUUUUUUAUUAUGACAUAUGACCUCUGGACAUAAGGGAACAUUCAAAAUCUAUACAUUUUAAUGAGUUAUACAAAAAAGGACAACUAGUAAUCACCUGAGUUGAGAAGGAGAAUGUUGUCAGCUGCUCAGGAAACCCCCAUGGUUACCAACCUGAAGUUUUAUCACUUUUCAGACUUUGGGGAUCAUCAUCUCCUUGCUUUUCUCUAUGGUUUUACUCCGUGUAUGCACCCCCCAAACUGAAUGAACUUUGUAUUAAUGGAACUGUGCUGCAUGUAUCUUGGGGGCAUCCUACAUUUGUCCGCUGACAUCAUGUGGGUGAUGUUCCUCUCUGCUGUAGCUAUUGCCCACCCAUCUUCAAGGCUAUCGGAGCAUUCACCAUAGGACUGUACCACAAUGGAUUUAUCCAUUAGGGAGUAUUUUUGGUACUCGAUGUUUAUAGUAGAGAAUUUAUUGAAGUUGAUCGGUCCAACAGAGCUCAUAUUGGAAACAAACUGAAAUGCUAUGUACCGCUCUUUGUGGAAGCCCGAUCUUGAAUCAGCCCAGCCAUCUGCCGUCCUUGGUCCACAUCCAGACUGCUGAUGGCUGCUGAAGAAAAAUUGCACAGCCGAGUGAAUUCACGUUACUCCAGAUCAUGAUCUUCAGCCCCAGCUGCGCCCUCGUGAGAGCCAGCGAUUCCGCGAGUCUGCCUUCAGCUGCCCUCCCCAGCCCCUCCAGACCCAGCCUCUUCAGGCUGGCGUGGUUUUCUCCCUGCUUUUCUCCACACACUUACAGUAGAUGACCUUGGUUCAUGGAGGUCAUCGGGUGUAACACCGUUCAUUUCUUAACUUGGCAACGAUGAAUCUCCUCUGCAUCCAUACCUACCUCCCCGGCCAUCUCUGGGGCCCAGCUUCUUUUCCGGUAACAGCUGCACCUGUGCCCUCCCCCCUCCUAGGAGCUCCUGUCCUUGGCUCCGUGAGCUCCCUCCGGCCCACACCUACCUCUCACAAUGUCUGUGCAAGGCCUUUGCCUUUGUACCCUUGCCUUCAUUGGCCAGCGUCACGACUGGGUCUUUGAAGUUCUCACCCGGACCACUGCCACAGUCUUACUAACUUGCACGUCCAUCUUUUAGGUCCAGCCAUCUUUCUCUAUAGAAGCUGGAGUGCUAUUUCUGCAAUGCACACCUGAUUAUAUGAAUCUGUAUUGAUUUCCUUGGGCUGCCGCCACAAAUGACCAUAAACUCGGGGUAAGGGGAUGAAGGGGGGUUAUAACUGCAGAAGUUUCUUCUCCCAUUGUUCCGGAGGCCAUGAGCCUAAGAUCACAGUGUCUGCAGGAGGAGUUCCUCUGGAACCUGGUGGGGAGAAUCCAUGCCAUGAGCUCUCUCAGCUUCUGGUAGCUACUAACAAUCCUUGACCUGUAGACUCUGUUUUGUAGAGAAUUCAAGUGCUAAUUGAAUGUUAUUACUGUCACCACUCCAAUUUCGGCCCUGGUCUUUGAAUGGCCUUUUUGGUCUCUGUGUCUCAUGUCCCCCUGUCAUUUCUGUUAUAAGGACACACGUCCUUGGAUUUAGGGCCCACCCCAAAUCUGUGAUGUCCUCAUGUCAAUAUCCUAACUUUAUUAACAUCUACAAAACCCCUUCUUUGGUUAGGUCCUGAGGUACCAAGAGUUACCACUUGUUACCUAUGCAUACAUUUAUAUGUUUUUAAAUUAAAAAAAGUUUUUUUGAA